rnacentral:lncRNA from 1 species
UUCUGUUGUUUAUGAGCCAUCCAGUCUGUAGCAUGCGUCCUGUGUUAGCAGCCCAAAUGAACGAAGACACAUGCGCUGCUGAGGGAACAGACGUUGUCUUCUGCUUGAUCCUGAGCACCAACUCCAAGAAGAAAGUGUCUGAAAAACAAAUAGUGUUAUGGCAUGAUGUUAGAAAAAUUUUCAAAUCCUUGUUCCUAAAACUUCACAUUAGAAGAAUUGGAAUUUGAAAAACACCAGUAAAACUAAAUUACAAGAAAAUUCAAUUCAAGAGGAAGAUUAUGAAUAUAAUAAUUUGGGGAAAAUAUUUAAUCUGAGUUCAAACUUUUUAAACAAC